rnacentral:rRNA from 1 species
AACGAACGCUGGCGGCGUGCCUAACACAUGCAAGUCAAACGGAUGUAGCAAUACAUAAAGUGGCGCACGGGUGAGUAAUACAUGGGAAUCUUCCGAGUAGAGAAGGACAACUCCUGGAAACGGGUGCUAAUACUUCGUAAGCAAGCAAUUGGAAAGGUGGGACCGCAAGGCCUACCGCUAUUCGAUGAGCUCAUGUCCCAUUAGCUAGUUGGCGGGGUAACAGCCCACCAAGGCGAAGAUGGGUAGCUGGUCUGAGAGGACGAUCAGCCACACUGGAACUGAGACACGGUCCAGACUCCUACGGGAGGCAGCAGUGGGGAAGUAUU